rnacentral:sRNA from 24 species
CAUCCUGAAAGACGGUACUGCUGCGGCAGACUGAAGCGGAAGGGAACUAUG